rnacentral:rRNA from 1 species
GAUGAACGCUGGCGGCGUGCCUAACACAUGCAAGUCGAGCGAAGCACUUACUUUAGCUUUCUUCGGAAUGACGAAGUUUGUGACUGAGCGGCGGACGGGUGAGUAACGCGUGGGCAACCUGCCCUGUACAGGGGGAUAACAGUUAGAAAUGACUGCUAAUACCGCAUAAGCCCACAGCUUCGCAUGAAGCAGUGGGAAAAACUCCGGUGGUACAGGAUGGGCCCGCGUCUGAUUAGCUAGUUGGUAAGGUAACGGCUUACCAAGGCGACGAUCAGUAGCCGACCUGAGAGGGUGACCGGCCACAUUGGGACUGAGACACGGCCCAAACUCCUACGGGAGGCAGCAGUGGGGAAUAUUGCACAAUGGGGGAAACCCUGAUGCAGCGACGCCGCGUGAGCGAUGAAGUAUUUCGGUAUGUAAAGCUCUAUCAGCAGGGAAGAAAGUGACGGUACCUGACGAAGAAGCCCCGGCUAACUACGUG